rnacentral:rRNA from 1 species
AGCAGUCGCCGCGGGAAUACGAAGGGUGCAAGCGUUACUCGGAAUUACUGGGCGUAAAGCGUGCGUAGGUGGUGGUUUAAGUCCGUUGUGAAAGCCCUGGGCUCAACCUGGGAAUUGCAGUGGAUACUGGGUCACUAGAGUGUGGUAGAGGAUAGUGGAAUUUCCGGUGUAGCAGUGAAAUGCGUAGAUAUUGGAAGGAACAUCUGUGGCGAAGGCGACUAUCUGGUCCAACACUGACACUGAGGCACGAAAGCGUGGGGAGCAAACAGGAUUAGAUACCCCAGUAGUCCCUGUCUCUUAUAU